rnacentral:sRNA from 2 species
AAUGUCACAACGCUUAAUUUUCAUAUGCAUAUGAAAAGCGGGGGAACCAAUCGUUGAUGAAGAGGACUGAUAGGAAAUGAUCAGGAUCUACACAACAUGGGGUGAAUUCCGGUAUCUACCGGAACGGGCAAUCUUCCAGCCCGAAUCCGACAGCUAACUCCGUAAGCGUAUAAGGGAGAACUC